rnacentral:tRNA from 1 species
GGCGGCGUAGCCAAGUGGCCUAAGGCGACGGUUUGCAAAACCGUUAUUCCUGGGUUCGAAUCCCAGCGCCGCCU